rnacentral:rRNA from 1 species
CUGCGCGACACCGUCUACNCGUGUGAGAUGUAAACAUAAACUCUGUAAACCGAAACUGAUUGUCAUACUUGAUAUAAAUUUAAAACUUUCAACAACGGAUCUCUUGGUUCUCGCAUCGAUGAAGAACGCAGCGAAUUGCGAUACGUAAUGCGAAUUGCAGAUUUUCGUGAGUCAUCGAAUCUUUGAACGCACAUUGCGCCCCCUGGUAUUCCGGGGGGCAUGCCUGUUUGAGCGUCGUUACCUUCUCAAAGCGGUAGUUUUGGUGGUGGGGGAAGUCUGGCACUCCCCUAAAACACAGGUACACGACAGCGGUGCUGUUUGUAGUAGUAGUGGGUGUUUGUUUAGCGCACGCUGCAAUGUCUUAAGGAACGUCCUUUCAUUGCUGGCAAGCGAGACACGACAUCUCUGCAAGCUCGACCUCAAAUCAGGUAGGACUACCCGCUGAACUUAANCAUAUCAAUAAGCG